rnacentral:lncRNA from 1 species
CGUCAACCAAGUAGUUCUCCAGGUCUCAUUACCACCCAACCGCCACGGUUUUCGGGGCCUGGGAAAUGGCCUUCUUGGACACGAUUUCCGGCGAGCAGACUUCCAUGAGUGCCAAGGGAAGCAGCUGGCAGAGGGAGAAUUUCAGGGGUGAAGAAACCUCCGGGUUCCAGAGCAGGGACCAAAUUGAGCAGUGUGGAGACGCUGAAGCAGGGCACACCUGGUGACAGGUAGAAGGACCAUCACAAAUGGCAGCUCAAUUUCUUCCGCUGCCCAAAGACCACGAGGGAAGCAAACCUCUGGAUACGAGCUGCAAACAUCGACCGGAUGUUUUCUCCAGGGAAGGGGCUGAAAAAAAAAGAAAACUGGGGACUGUCUAAGACUUUUGCCAAGCAGACUUUUUUGGAAAGAUCUGUUUAAACAGAGGUGAUAACUGAGUCCAGGGCGGCAGCGAGGGUAUAAAAAGGUCAAACUCUGUUGCCCUUUGGCUAACACAGUUUUCACACAACACACGCUGCCCUGACAGGCAGGUGCACCCUCUUGGGGCAGGAUCCGUGCAGCAGGCAGGCGGCCCAGCGAAAGGACGUCGGGAAAAUGUCCCAGGCUCUGUCUCACCCCUCUAGAGGAUCUAUAAUGCUUCUGAAGGCAACCGGAAAUAGACUCGGAAGUUGGGCGACUUUUACUGUACGUGGGCUGAGACUUUAUUAACGUCUGCUUUUAUUAAUGUCUGUGGGAGAAUCCUUGGAUCGUCAGGACACCAGUUGCUUACACCCUAUAUUUAUUUCACACCACCCAUUGCGUAAAAGAAAGUCAACUUUUCCAGAACGCUGGACGUUUUUGACAACAGUCUGAAUUUGGGCUGGAAACCAGACAAAAAAUACCCCAGUUCUGAGCAGGGCAAGAAUCCGAAAUCACGUCGCCUCUUUUUUGUCUUUCUUCCCAGCUAGAAUAGCAAAAGAUGGGGCUACCUACUCCCCCCAAAUUCUUCUCUGUCUCUCAAAAGCAAAAAUUCUAGUCUUGCACCCUCUGCUUGGCUUCCAGUGAAUAUAUUUUAAUUCACGCCUUCCGUGAGUUCUUGGCCUUUUGUGUUGCCUUCUGUCUUUCGGUCCCACAGACCCACACCUUAAAAAAAGGGGAGGGAAACUCUGGUUUGCGUUAGCUGCUU